UGCUCAUGAUUUAGACAAUUCCUCUACAUGUCCUUGAAUCUCUCCCAAGCUUCAUAGAACAACUCAUCUAGUUAUUGCUCAAAAGAAAGUAGUUCACCUCUCAAUGG